UCGACAGUAGGAUGUGCAAGUGCUGUGGUGAUCAUCCUUGGGAAAUUGAAACCCCAAGUCUGAUCUUGAGGGGGGAAUAUUUAUUGUAGCACUUGCCAUGACGGGGAGCGACACCUAUGAGCCGCAGUUGGCGGAGGGUGGCGCCAUCUAUGAGAAAAGGUUUAGCGUAGGUAUUGGGGGAGCGCCUGGAACAAAACGAAUUCCGGUAGUUCGCCAUUUGUGGACCCCAGGAGCCAGCCCGCCGAAAAUCCGGCGUCGGUCCGCUUAUGGGUAUGGGUGGGAUCAUUCCCAAGCAAGAUCUGCAACAAGCCAGACGUGUCAGCAAGGCGCUAAGCAGCAAAACCACGGGAGAAAAACCAACAAUAUUCGAAGAUCCCGCCGGCAGUUGUGACAAUUAAUUUUGGGGACGCUCAAAGGCUCCCAAUUGUCCACCGGCGUCAGUAAACCGAGUGUAGAGGUGGAAGUGGUGGCUCGAGGAAAACCCAGGGGCCGAGCAAAAGUCCGAGUGGACUAUUCCGUGUCCACUAUUAAAGAACUCCAGGUGGCUCAACUAAGGAAGUCCAACCAAAGGCGGACGGAGGAGCACCGAGGAAGGAGAAGAAAUCCCGGCCUAAAAUAGGCUAACCGCAGCAAGUUCGCUUCGAACCGAAGCUAGGUUCGAGCGAACGGAGGAGCGCAGAGGAGGCGCUAACCGCAGUGUAGCGCGAUCUUCAAGAACGGGAGGGAGGAAAACAUCGGAGGUGUCCCAGUAAAAGGUCCAGGCUGAAUGGAUAUUCCAGCUUUGGAUCCGGUCCGUAGUGUCCCUGGCCAGUGAUUUCAAGGAGCCAUAUUAGAGAAGCAGUGUAAACCCAAAGUGAAAUGGAUAAGAUUUAAGCAAGAAAAAAAA
rnacentral:sRNA from 1 species